UAAAGGGCAACUUAAUAAUUUUAUAUUUAUUUUAAACUUUCCAAUAUCAGUAGCAUCUUAUAGGAAAUCAAUCAUCAAACGUGCGCCUAGCUUCAUGGCGUCUUUGCACAAUAUAAAAUAUUUCAUAAUAAGACACAUUCUUUCUUUUAGCGAGACAAACCAUUAUUUUAUCCCUUGUUGGUCGUAUCAGCCUGAUCAGAUUGCAACCAUUAAGACUCUUCAUCAGUUGGCAUCUAUGACUGACCUCGGACUUACUGGUUAGCAAUGCGUACUUCCGUUGGGAAGGCCAGGGUUCAAAUCAUGUUUUUUCAGAGUCGGCAACAGAAGAAGGCGAGUUGGUGUGGGGGGUUGGGAGAACAGUAAAACAAAAAGACCCCAAAGGGAAGAGAAUACUUACCUAAAUAGUAAGGGAGAUAAGCUUGAGCAUUUUGUAUUGAACAACAAUUAAAUAUUACUGGCGCGUUAUUGUAAGCUCGGUUAUGUUUGAGUAAAUAAUGAUUAUCAAAACUAAAAUAAAAA